rnacentral:lncRNA from 1 species
UCUUACUCCGAUUUGGCUAGCUCUGAUACCAGAUGAUACGCCCCGGCCUCGGUGAUGAGAGUCGAGCCGUUGAUGUACCCGAUCGUGAAUUGGAGUAAUAUCAAGGUUUGUCGAAGAUAGGUUAAGAAAGAAGGGAUAAAGGCUCAAAUUUAGUUCAAAAGGGGUUAUGAAGUGUAUUGAGGAUGAUAGGUGAAUGAAA